GUUUUUCUGAAGUAGUAUCAGUUUGUAAGCUGAAUGUUCUUUUCAAUCAUCUACUGAAGAUGUUGAACAAAUGUAUUUAAAGUUGUUAAUGAAGUUAUGUUAAAGCCACUUUCCUUGUUAAAUAUCUUCUCUAUUUCAUGCUAAAAGUCUAGCAAAAUAUAAAUACCUUUUCUUUACUGAAAUACCUCUCUGUAGAGGACAGACUGAAUGAAUUAAUCAAUCAAAAAAAUAUUUUGCUGCCAAGUCUGGAAGAAAAUUCACAAGAUUUGCAACAAGCACAGACUCUUGUGCUAGACCAAGAAGACAAAUGCAGAUAUUAUGAGAAAAAAAUGCAGGACCUAGCAGAAAAAAGAAGGCUUUUGCUUACCAGCCUGGAAUCGAAUUGGAAAGAUCUGCAACAGACUCAGGCUCUGGCAGCUAGCCAACUUCAUGGCAUGAAUGGAAACAAAGUAAAUGAACUCAUCAAGGAAAGAGAGUCUUUGGUUGCUGAAAUAGAAGAAAAUCUAAAGAGCCUUCAAGAAGUUGAGAAUGUGGUAACAAGCCAUUUAGUCACAGACAGAUUCAUUGAAAGUGAAUCGUUAGCAGGGAAAAAAAGAAUCCUUCUUCCAAAUCUUCCAUUGGCUCUGUCAUCUGUUCAAAGUGCAGACAAAUCCGUUGGUAGGAAAGGGACAGUUCCAGCACCUGCGCAGUCAACUUAUGACAGAGACACCACAUCAUAUGUUAAUCAAAUGAUGCCGAGAAAAGUUGCAUCGAGUAUAUGUUUUGACUUUUCUACGCUUCCAGCCUUAGUACCAG
rnacentral:lncRNA from 1 species